GACGAACGCUGGCGGCGUGCUUAACACAUGCAAGUCGAGCGGAAAGGCCACUUCGGUGGUACUCGAGCGGCGAACGGGUGAGUAACACGUGAGUAAUCUGCCCCUGGCUUUGGGAUAGCCACCGGAAACGGUGAUUAAUACCGGAUACGACCACUUCUCGCAUGGGAUGGGGGUGGAAAGUUUUUUCGGCCAGGGUUGUGCUCGCGGCCUAUCAGCUUGAUGGUGAGGUAAUGGCUCACCAUGGCUUCGACGGGUAGCCGGCCUGAGAGGGUGACCGGUCACACUGGGACUGAGACACGGCCCAGACUCCUACGGGAGGCAGCAGUGGGGAAUAUUGGACAAUGGGCGGAAGCCUGAUCCAGCAACGCCGCGUGAGGGAUGACGGCCUUCGGGUUGUAAACCUCUUUCAGCAGGGACGAAGCGCAAGUGACGGUACCUUCAGAAGAAGCACCGGCCAACUACGUGCCAGCAGCCGCCGUAA
rnacentral:rRNA from 1 species